CAAUAGCGUAUAUUAAAGUUGUUGCAGUUAAAAAGCUCGUAGUUGGAUUUUGGUGUUUGACAAACGGUCGGCCUUACGGUUUGUACUGUUUGUUGGCACUUCUUUUCUGGGGAACUCACUGUUCUUAAUUGAAGGGUGUUGUAACGCAGAUCGUUUACUUUGAAAAAUUAGAGUGUUCAAAGCAGGCCAACGCAUUGAAUACAUUAGCAUGGAAUAAUGGAAUAGGACUUUGGUCUUAUUUUGUUGGUUUCUAAGGCCGAGGUAAUGAUUAAUAGGGACAAUUGGGGGCAUUUGUAUUAACACGUCAGAGGUGGAAUUCUUGGAUUGUGUUACGACAAACUACUGCGAAAGCAUUUGCCAAGGAUGUUUUCAUUGAUCAAGAACGAAAGUAAGGGGAUCGAAGACGAUCAGAUACCAU
rnacentral:rRNA from 1 species